CGGAUCUCUUGGCUCUCGCAUCGAUGAAGAACGCAGCGAAAUGCGAUAGGUAAUGUGAAUUGCAGAAUUCAGUGAAUCAUCGAAUCUUUGAACGCACAUUGCGCCCUUUGGUAUUCCUUAGGGCAUGCCUGUUCGAGCGUCACUACACACCUUAUCACAAAGUUUGUGGUCUUGGCAGGAGUGAAUUGCUAGUCUAUUAAAAUGUUCCAGCUGUACACUCUGCUAAAAAUUAUGAGAAGGUUACCAGGCAUGAACGACGGACUUUAUAAACGGUUAUAAGACCUGGAUCAGUCACAAGUCUUGUCUGGUCCUUACCUUAAGGACCCCCAUCCUAGAUGAACUAUGGGUUGACCUCGAAUCAGGCAGGGAUACCCGCUGAACUUAAGCAUAUCAAUAAGCGGAGGAAAAGAAACCAACAGGGAUUGCCCUAGUAACGGCGAGUGAAGCGGCAAAAGCUCAAAUUUGAAAUCUGGCACCUUUGGUGUCCGAAUUGUAAUUUGGAGAGGCAACUUCGGGUAGGACCCAGUCUAUGUUCCUUGGAACAGGACGUCAUAGAGGGUGAGAAUCCCGUUCAUGACUGGAUGUUCCUACUAGUACGUAGUGCCUUCUACGAGUCGAGUUGUUUGGGAAUGCAGCUCAAAAUGGGUGG
rnacentral:rRNA from 1 species